rnacentral:lncRNA from 1 species
GGGUAGUGAUUAUAUGAUAAAUGAAAAUGAUUGAGAUUGGUUUCCUUGAGUUUUAUUUGGUUUUGGUUUUGAAAAUGGAAGAUUCUUGUAAAAUGUUAAAGAGAGACGAACAUUGAUGAAAAUAUCCUUUUAAGCCAAUCACCUUAUAAAUCUUUCAUAUUUAGUUUUGAAUGAUUAUAUGGAAGUAUUUGAUUGUUAGUUGAGUGUUGAAUGUAAUGUUUAUCUUAAGGUGAUGUAUUUUCCUCUUGACUUGGAAAGUAGGCAAAUCAUGUAUUUGAUGUGAAAUUAUGUGAAGGUGAUGAUAUUGGUGAAUCCAUAUAUAUUGUUUAUUAUGAUAUGGUGGGUGAAUAUAUAUGUUGUUGUGAAUGUGUUGAUGGUUUAAGAAAUAUUUUGGGCGGAGUUUAAUCGGUGAAAACGGGUUUUGAGCUAAAUGUUGUUUUGUCUUGGGUUUCUCAUACGAACUUAAGCUAUCCUUCGAAUUAAUUUCUAAUAGUUUGUAAGUGGCUUAUGUCCUUGACUACAUGAUUGAUUAAGAUUGAAUUGUAGGAUUUCA